GCCUGCAAGGACAGAAGGGGUUAAGUGUUUCUGGCGGCCUCGUGCUGUGUCUGCGGCAGUUCCCUCUUCCGGGGCUGCAGCAGCCGAGGUUGGUGAGGAAUGUUUGCAAUGCAGAGCUAGGAAGGAGGGCGGGCUGGUGGAAGUGGAGGCCUGUGGAGGCCGGCCGGCCCGGCUCCCCAGUUGAGCAAUCUCCGGGCCCCAGCCGGUUCCUGUAACUCCGGCCCCUCCCGCCUUUUCCCGCCUCGCCGGCUUCCUCCACCCGCCUGCCCGGCAGUGGGGGAGGCCAGUCCUCGGAGCAGGCAGAAGGAGGCGGGAGGGCCAGAGGCCCCAUAGAGCUUGGAGGCCAGGGGCAAAAGGGAAGGGCUUCCAAGGAGACACAGAGGAGUACAAUCAGCUCAGCCCUCUGGGCCCAGAAAGGGCAGGGCCUUUGCCCAAGGUCACACAGGGAGGCCCCACUGGACAGGAUCACACCCUGGAUUCAGCCUUUUUUGUUCCCAUGGCACCGGACUGCAGCUCACAGAGCGUGGAGGUCACCGUCCCGCUCAGCUGGGAUGGUUUCUCCACUGAAGGCGAAGACCCCUUCCCAGCCCGCCCCCCAGCCCUGCCUUGGCUCUCAACUCAAGUCCUAGGGGACCAGAGAAGAAGGUGGCUCUUACUGGGCUGGGCACUCCCCCGACCCCCAUCACCUCGCUAGCAUUGCCCACUGCUUAGCCUGUCCUGGGGACCCUGGUCACCUCCAUUCCUCACCUCCAGGAGUGUGGAGUGAAUGGAUGGAGGGAAGGCAGACUUGAGCUGGUUCUCGAAAGCCCCCUUUCCUUCCUUAUUCCCAUCCCCUUCAAGGAAGGACCUUCCAGGCCCAGAAAGGAAUUUCUCCUCCAGCAUACACGUUCUCUGGGAGACGCAGCACUCCCCGGCACCCCAGAACGAGCUCUGUCCACUGACACUGUUUACAAAGGACAUCUGGGGAGGCGGCCUCUACGGUCUCCUUCAGACCAGAUUUGAAUCCUAGCUCCACCUCCUCCCAACCUCGAGGCCUCUUACAGAGCCUCAGUUUUCUUCUGUGUAAAGUGGAAUUAAAGGACAGGGUCAGUGAAACGGGCAGCAGCAGGCUGUUUCCUCUAAGGCUCUGGGCCACUUGCCUUUCCUGGUCCCACAGACAUUCAGUCCAUUUGGGACCUGCUCAGGGUGUCCCCCCCCCACCCCACCCGCCAGCCGGGCCCCGGACUUUGCUCAAGCUGCCAGAGGAUGGUUAAUGGGCUCAGCAGCCCUGGGUGCCGCCUGGGCCACAUCUGGUGGAAAGAGCCGCAGAGGUGCUGGGACCCCAUAUGUCUGGAGGGCGGGGCAGGUGUUCCGUGUGAGCUAGACAUUCCUAUGAGACUCAGACACCCCGUUUACAGGUAAGGAGGCUCAAGGGAGGAGUGACUCGCCAGGCCAUGCAGACCUGGAGAAGGACUGUCACCUGGAACACCACACCAGGAACACCAAGGACCCUCCUGCGCUCUGUUCGGCCAUUGCUUAAGGUUUCCUUCCUUCAUGCCAGCCCAUGGCUGACCUAAUUUAUCCCAACAACAUGCCUAAGAAGGAGGUAGACAGAGCCUCAUUUUUUCCCCAGGAAACAGAGAGGUUGAUCCACUUGUCCAGGGUCACACAGCUUGGAAGAAGUAGAGCCUAACUUCGAAUUCAGGCCCCCUGCCUCCAGAGCCUGUGCUCGUGGCUGGUCUUCACACCUGGCUUGGGAUCCGGGCUCUGCAUAGAGGGCUGGGCCACCUAGGCUGAGUCACUUAAGCCCCAGAGUCACAGAGUGAGGGAAGAAUCUGCAGCACCCACUGGGGGCGGGGAGUCGCUGUGCUGAAGAUCACUGCCAGCGGGGGAGGGGAGAUCAGAGGGGCCAAGCCUCUUGCUCUAGGGCACACAGCCAGCCCAGCCAGGCCCCAUGCCCAGGCUGAUGGUGACUCCGCGUCCUCCCCUGCUCCCUGUCCUCGGCCCACGGAGGCCACGGCCGUCCAGGACCCCCGCAGCCGGCUGGGCUCCAGCGGACAGAUGGACAGAUGACGGCCGCCCCCUCCCACGGCCUGCAGGCUGCGUGGCUUCGCCACCUCCUCCCGAGCAGGUUUCCUUUAAGAAACCAGAAGAUUGAUUUCCUGGCAGGCUCUGCGCCGAGGAGCCCGUCCAAAUGGAUUUCAGGUGAUGUGGCAGCAGGGGGGCGGCCCUGGAGGAUCACGGGAACUCGGAAUGGUCCGCAGAGGAGGCUGCAGCCUCAGGAGAGGCCAUUCCAGAGCCGAGGGCGGACAGACUGACAGUUUUACAUUUGGAUCAUAAGAGAAAUGAAAAGCAAAAGCCCACGAGGUACUACUUCAGAGAAACUCACCAGGGUUGGUGAGGACGUGGAGAAACUGGAACCUCGCAGUGAGAAGCUGGGGACGGAACCGUGGAGGACUGCGUGGCGUUUCUUCGUGAAAUUAAAAAUAGAAUUCGCAUAUGAUCCAGCAAUCCCACUUCUGGGCAUAGACCCAAAAGAAUGGAAAGCAGGGGCUCAAGCACAUAUAUGCCCACCCGUGUUCACAGCAGCGUCACGCACCAGAGCCCAAAGGUAAAAAUGAGGUUGGGAUGUCAGGGUCCUGGGAUCGAGUUAUGCAUCUGGCUCUGAACUCAGCAUGGAGUCUGCUUAAGAUCUCUCCCUCCCUCUCCGUCUGUCUCUCCUGCUUGUGCUGUCACUCUCUCUCUCUCUCAAAUAAAUAGAGAAAAUCUUUCAAAAGAAUCCCUGUGCUA